AUUACAAUAUUAUAAGAAAACCACGGGCUCCAAAACCUCACCGCCCUUUUUUUUGGAACAAAAUUACUUCUCCCUCACCGUCUUCUCUCUCUGUUGGAUAAUUUUAUUGAGCAAUCCCAAAAUUUCUACUGCCUCUCUCUCCUCACUGCGUAAAAAUUACUCCGCCACAAGCUCCCUCUCAUUGCUCCGCCGUCGCUCUCCAGUUUUCUCCGCUGCCGCCGCUCUCCGCACACAAUCGAACACCAAGUUUUUCGACAAACCUCCACCACCGGUUGGUUCUUGGACUCCACCACCAAUAAAACUUCCUGUGACUAAGCUGCUUGGCCUGCUAAUACCAGAUUCAAUUUCGGAGACUAUCUCAGGAGUUUUGAGAUUGUGGUGUAAAUAGCUUUAAGGAUCAUGUGUAAAUUGAUUCGAUCAGCAUAGUUUUGGAAACUGAUUUGAAGUUUGAGCUCCUAUUCUUAUGGGAGCCAGAGUGAGGGUUUUUAUGUAUCCGAGCAACAUUUGAAGUGAGCAUCACCCAAGAUUUUCACUGCAUAUGACUUGUCCCAAUUGUGGUUGUUAUAGGUAAGCUCUGCUCUUCAUUUUGUAUACAUUCGAUCCUCAUUUUGUAUAUACUGUGUGUAUUUUAACUCAUUCGUUCAUAUAUUGUGUGUAUUUUAACUCAUAAAUUGCAAUGGUGCGGUGCGGGAGGAAGGGGCUAAAAGGGAGCAACAAAUGGAAGAGCGAAUGAAAAACUCGGAAAAAUGCGUAGUUUAGUUUAAUUUUGUAAGACAAUCUUAUCUUAUAUAUUUUGUAAAACAAUCUUACCUAUUUAAUGUUAUUUGAACUUUGUUUA